AACGAACGCUGGCGGCAGGCCUAACACAUGCAAGUCGAACGAUAUAGUGGCAGACGGGUGAGUAACGCGUGGGAACGUACCUUUCGCUACGGAAUAGCUCUGGGAAACUGGUGGUAAUACCGUAUACGCCCUUAGGGGGAAAGAUUUAUCGGCGAAAGAUCGGCCCGCGUUAGAUUAGGUAGUUGGUGGGGUAAUGGCCUACCAAGCCUACGAUCUAUAGCUGGUCUGAGAGGAUGAUCAGCCACACUGGGACUGAGACACGGCCCAGACUCCUACGGGAGGCAGCAGUGGGGAAUCUUGUACAAUGGGCGAAAGCCUGAUGCAGCCAUGCCGCGUGAAUGAUGAAGGCCUUAGGGUUGUAAAAUUCUUUCGCUAGGGAUGAUAAUGACAGUACCUAGUAAAGAAGCCCCGGCUAACUUCGUG
rnacentral:rRNA from 1 species